CCUACGGGAGGCAGCAGUGGGGAAUAUUGGGCAAUGGGCGCAAGCCUGACCCAGCAACGCCGCGUGAAGGAAGAAGGCUUUCGGGUUGUAAACUUCUUUGCUCAGGGACGAGGAGAGUGACGUUACCUGAAGAAUAGGCCACGCCUAACUACUUCCCAGCGGCCGCGUUAAUACGUAGGUGGCAGGCGUUUUCCGGAUUUAUGGGGGUAAAGGGGCGUUUAGGCGGGAGCGCAAGUCAGAUGUGAAAACUCAGGGCUCAACCCUGAGCCUGCAUUUGAAACUGUGUUUCUUGAGUGCUGGAGAGGCAAUCGGAAUUCCGUGUGUAGCGGUGAAAUGCGUAGAUAUAAGGAGGAACACCAGUGGCGAAGGCGGAUUGCUGGACAGCAACUGACGCUGAGGCGCGAAAGCGUGGGGAGCAAACAGGAUUAGAUACCCGUGUAGUC
rnacentral:rRNA from 1 species